GGGGAAUAUUGCGCAAUGGGCGAAAGCCUGACGCAGCCACGCCGCGUGAGCGAUGAAGGUCUUCGGAUCGUAAAGCUCUGUGGGGAGAGACGAAGAAAGCCGGUGAAGAGCCGGCCUUGACGGUAUCUCCUUAGCAAGCACCGGCUAACUCCGUGCCAGCAGCCGCGGUAAUACGGAGGGUGCAAACGUUGCUCGGAAUCAUUGGGCGUAAAGCGCACGUAGGCGGCGGCGUAAGCGGGAUGUGAAAGCCCAGGGCUCAACCUUGGAAGUGCAUCCCGAACUGCGUCGCUUGAAUCUCGGAGGGGGACAGAGAAUUCCCGGUGUAGAGGUGAAAUUCGUAGAUAUCGGGAGGAAUACCAGUGGCGAAGGCGCUGUCCUGGACGAAGAUUGACGCUGAGGUGCGAAAGCGUGGGGAGCAAAC
rnacentral:rRNA from 1 species